AGGGUAAUAGCUCAGUGGUAGAGUGUGUGCUUAGCAUGCACGAGAUCCUGGGUUCAACUCCUAGUACCUUC
rnacentral:tRNA from 1 species